UCUCGAUUAGUAUAGUGGUCAGUAUGCCAGCUUGUCACGCUGGAGACCGGGGUUCAAUUCCCCGAUCGAGAG